AGAUGGCUUGGCACUAAAGACACAUGCUGCUCUUGCCAAGGACAGGAGUGUGGUUCCCAGCACCCACACUGGAUGGCUCAACAGCUGCCCGUAAUUCACUCCAGUGACUCCGAUACCCUAUUCUGACCUCUUUGGGCACCUGCAUAGAUGUGAGUGCUGGUAUUGACUACAGGCACAUGCCACCAUGACUAGUUUAUGCUGGGAAUGAAACCAGGGCCUUGUGCAUGCUCGGCAAGCAGUCUGCAGCUGGAGAUCCAUCCCUAAACCUGACCCAUCUCAUUAUGCUUGGGAUCCUGUCAGCUACAGAGAUCCUUUGCUUCCAGCCUUCUCAGGUAGCCUGCAUAUAAAAGAGACUGAAGAAAGCAGCAAGAGUGGAAAUCGGAGAGGAAAUCAAAGCCAAGCCUGACUCCAAGGCACCACACUGCUCUCUCCAAGGAACCAGGCAGGGCUGGAGAGAAUCUGGAACCCAAUUUCAGUCCAAACAUCUUUGCAUCUCCUGCCUAUGUACCCAGCUGCAGCGGCAGGAGGGCCUCAUAAUGCAACCUAGGCCUGGGAAGGGUCCUCCAUCGGAGAGCUCACAGUCGGCACAGGAAGUCGAGGAGAAGACAGUGGUGGGGUCAGUGAUCGGAAAUAGGUAUGCAAGUGUAAUUUAGAAACUAAACACCCUGCAGGAGAUGUGCCAGAA